rnacentral:rRNA from 1 species
GUUGAACGCUGGCGGCAUGCCUUACACAUGCAAGUCGAACGGCAGCACGGGAGCAAUCCUGGUGGCGAGUGGCGAACGGGUGAGUAAAGUAUCGGAACGUGCCCAGUCGUGGGGGAUAACGUAGCGAAAGUUACGCUAAUACCGCAUACGAUCUAUGGAUGAAAGCGGGGGAUCGCAAGACCUCGCGCGAUUGGAGCGGCCGAUAUCAGAUUAGGUAGUUGGUGGGGUAAAGGCUCACCAAGCCGACGAUCUGUAGCUGGUCUGAGAGGACGAACAGGCACACUGGGACUGAGACACGUCCCAGACUCCUACGGGAGGCAGCAGUGGGGAAUUUUGGACAAUGGGCGAAAGCCUGAUCCAGCCAUGCCGCGUGCAGGAUGAAGGCCUUCGGGUUGUAAACUGCUUUUGUACGGAACGAAAAGGUUUGGCCUAAUAAGCUGAGCUCAUGACGGUACCGUAAGAAUAAGCACCGGCUAACUACGUGCCAGCCGCCGCGGUAA